CUGUUUCCAGGUCAAAGCAACCAUGACCAGUGUUGUAUGUGAACACACUCAAAUGGACAUUUCCAUCGAACGCCCUCAUGUCCUGGUGGAUGGUGAACUCAGUGGAAGUACUCUGUGGUUCUGUCAUUCCUUGACCUCUUGGUAAACCUGAGGUAGAUGACGAGUAACAAAGGGGAGGGGGGCAAGGAAGACAAGACCACAUCUGUCCAGCAUCAGUGGAUGGAAGAGGACAAAAAGAAAAACUGAGGGGGAGGGAUGGUGAGAUAGAAGACUUGCUCCUUGAGCCACUGAAAGCCCCUGCCCCACCUCUGUCAGAGGGAGAAAUGUUCCUGGGAGCCUGCUUGCUUCCCUGCACAGAUUGUUGCAGCAAAGGAAGGAGUAUGUCAAAUUUCACAUUCACAAUUAACAUUGAGACCAGUACUGCUGAGUUGAAUCAGGAACCAAUUGAAUUACAAUCUGAUCAUAAUAAAAACAUUUUCUAAAUCUUG